UCGUCUACCGCCAGGAGUCUCGCCAAUCGCGGGAAUAUUUUCUCUAACUACUAGCUAUCGUAGGUUAAGUGGUACCCGUGAGUCUAUUUCUCUUCCAUGCUGUCUUCCCUUUUGCCAAUUAACAUGCGAUCUAGAUGCACGAUAGAUUUAACACUAAAGUCUAGGCGACGGAACCCAUAGGCUGUGUGACUUGUCUUAUUAAGACGGACGAGUGGAAUAAUUUCGAAGCAAAGAAGAACGAUGAGCCCAGUAUGAGAAUCUUUGAUAUUUCAAACCUUCGUCAACUGGUAUGUGGAAUACGAAAUGUGACUAGAGGAUAUCCAACCUGGAAUAAACAAAUUGGCGAUGCAUCGACCGGAGCUGUGACGUCGAUCGGGGCUGAACUCGACGUAUAAAGAAAUACUAGAUAAGUGGAAUGAAUAUUUAUGGAGUUUGCGAUAUUACAUUAAAAGAUCAAUAGGUUCUUACAGGUGUGAGACACGCGUAUGUAUCCGAUUUAAAUUUAUAAAUACUGUUAUUAAAUCCUGAAGUUAAGUGAA